AGUUUGCACUUGUCGGGGGUGAGGGCAACUUCGAUUAAGGUUCGACUCGGAGCGAAAGCGAGAGAACGUUACCAACGGCAGCGGCCCGUAGGGUGAGGGCGGCGACGAAUAAUCCUCCCCACCACCA
rnacentral:sRNA from 1 species